rnacentral:misc_RNA from 1 species
GAUGAAGAACGCAGCGAAAUGUGAUAAGUAAUGUGAAUUGCAGAAUUCAGUGAAUCAUCGAAUCUUUGAACGCACAUUGCGCCCGUCAGUAUUCUGGCGGGCAUGCCUGUUCGAGCGUCAUUACGCCCCUCAAGUCCCCUGUGGACUUGGUGUUGGGGAUCGGCGAGGCUGGUUUUCCAGCACAGCCGUCCCUUAAAUUAAUUGGCGGUCUCGCCGUGGCCCUCCUCUGCGCAGUAGUAAAACACUCGCAACAGGAGCCCGGCGCGGUCCACUGCCGUAAAACCCCCCAACUUUUCAUAGUUGACCUCGAAUCAGGUAGGACUACCCGCUGAACUUAAGCAUAUCAAUAAGCGGAGGA